GGUGAACGCUGGCGGCGUGCCUAACACAUGCAAGUCGAGCGGUGCAGUUUGAAGCUUCGGUGGAAAGCUGCAUAGCGGCGGACGGGUGAGGAAAACGUAGGAACGUGCCCCUUGGAGUUGGAUAGCCACGGGAAACUGUGGGUAAACCGACAUAGACUCGAGAGAGUAAAGGCCGAAAGGCGCCAAGGGAGCGGCCUGCGGCCCAUCAGGUAGUUGGUAGUGUAAAGGACUACCAAGCCGACGACGGGUAGCCGGUCUGAGAGGAUGGCCGGCCACAAGGGCACUGAGAGACGGGCCCUACUCCUACGGGAGGCAGCAGUGGGGGAUUUUGGACAAUGGGCGAAAGCCUGAUCCAGCGACGCCGCGUGGAGGACGAAGCCCUUCGGGUGUAAACUCCUUUCUUCAGGAAAAGGAUGAUGGUACCUGAGGAAUAAGCCCGGCUAACUACGUG
rnacentral:rRNA from 1 species